GACGUUUUAAAAGCUUGCUUUUAAAAGGUUAGCGGCGGACGGGUGAGUAACACGUGGGCAACCUGCCUGUAAGAUCGGGAUAACGCCGGGAAACCGGGGCUAAUACCGGAUAGUUUUUUCCUCCGCAUGGAGGAAAAAGGAAAGACGGCUUUUGGCUGUCACUUACAGAUGGGCCCGCGGCGCAUUAGCUWGUUGGUGGGGGUAACGGCUCACCAAGGCAACGAUGCGUAGCCGACCUGAGAGGGYGAUCGGCCACAUUGGGACUGAGACACGGCCCAAACUCCUACGGGAGGCAGCAGUAGGGAWUCUUUCCGCAAUGGACGAAAGUCUGACGGAGCAACGCCCGCCGUGAGUGAAGAAGGGCYUUCGGGUCGUAAAAACUUCUGUUUGCCCGGGGGAAGUAACAAAGUGGCCGUUUCGAAACAGGGGCGGGYGCCCUUGACGGUACCCGGCCAGAAAGCCACGGCUAACUACGUGCCAGCAGCCGCGGUAAUACGUAGGUGGCAAGCGUUGUCCGGAAUUAUUGGGCGUAAAGCGCGCGCAGGCGGCUUCUUAAGUCUGAUGUGAAAUCUUGCGGCUCAACCGCAGCGGGUCAUUGGAAACUGGGAGGCUUGAGUGCAGAAGAGGAGAGUGGAAUUCCACGUGUAGCGGUGAAAUGCGUAGAGAUGUGGAGGAACACCAGUGGCGAAGGCGGCUCUCUGGUCUGUAACUGACGCUGAGGCGCGAAAGCGUGGGGAGCAAACAGGAUUAGAUACCCUGGUAGUCCACGCCGUAAACGAUGAGUGCUAAGUGUUAGAGGGUUUCCGCCCUUUAGUGCUGCAGCUAACGCAUUAAGCAC
rnacentral:rRNA from 2 species